UUUUCAUGUCUUUCCCUAGGAGUGACACCUUGAAGCAGAGCUCUGCACCUACUGUCCUCUUCUGAACCCAACAGAGGAUGGAUUUGGUUCCAGAAAAGAGCACAGUAACUAUGUUUAAUGAUUUCUUAAGUACAGAGCUCAGCACACUCCCAAAUAUUCAGCUACACUAACCAAAGAUGACCAUUACUUGAUAGGAGUCGAUCAACUACCAAUGCCCACCUUAGCACAUACAAUGAUGGAGCAAACUAUCCAGUACUCGUGUUCGCUGGAAUUGUAGGCUCUGUUCCAGAUUUCUCUAACUGUCCUGUCAGAGGUGCCAAGCCAUCUUCAAAAGGCCUGGACCAAUGACUUCUACAUGGAACCACAGAUGCUACCGUCUAAGGCUGAUAAAAGGUGGUCGUUUUGAAUUGUGAGGAAGCAGGAGCAGUAAGACAGCAGCAUUCUAAGGAAAGAAAAGCAGGAGAAGCAGCAGAAGGUAGCAGCAACAUGAGGGCGCAGAGAAGAAAGCAGCGUGUGGAGGAGGCUUGCAGCAUCAGCUGUCCGUGUUGCCAGGAACUUCUCCCAAGCUUCUGCCUUAGGACUAACAGAACGGGCUCCUUUGAUCAGCAGGCUUGUAUUAGACCCUUAGUGGAGCAAGUAAGAGUGUGUACAUGUCACUCCCUUGCACGUUGUUAAAAUAAAGUAAAACUCCUUCCAAAGUAA